GGACAGAAAAUCUGUUUCGUAUGGAUCAGAGUCAGACAUUAACAUCUAAUAUGUAAUAUCUAGUGAUAUGUUUUCUUAGAUAAUGCUGUGAACAAAUGCUCUUUUACCUUGAAUAUUAGGUGGAUCCACACUUGAACCAUCUGUAUGAUGAUCUGCACCCACUGGAUCUGUAAAUGGUGGUGCAGGUUUCUGAAUUGAUGUCAGAUGCAAAGCAGAAGCUUAUUUUCUGCCAGUUUGGCUUCAUUGUGGAAAAAUGCUUGAAACUAAAAUGCAGAAUUCUGGCCUGGUGUUUGGUCCCCCCUUUCUCUGGCUUGUGUCUCCAUCAUCAUUACACUCUUGUCAGUGUAAUAGUAUCGUCGUCUGCGUACCAGGACUUUGUUACUCAGCUGUCCCUUCUCCUUCAAGCUACAUUUUUGUCAAGCUGCAACAAGUUGGAAUACAUAAUUAUUAACGUUUAAUGAUUUUGAUGUAUGAAAUAUGUAACAAAAGCAAAAAAUGUAUAGACAUUCUAUUAAGAAAUUACCUUUUUGUUGUUUGUUUACUGACCUUUCAACCAUAUUGCAUUUAUAAUUGAUCAUCAUACCUUUGGUCUACUGU